GGAUGUGAGGGUGAUAUGACUAUGACAUCUGUCACCACAUUGAUUUAGCUGAUCUGGCUGGGUAGGUGGGUGCCCCCUUCCUCCCUCACUAUUCCAUGUGCGUCCCUCCAAAGCUUCAUGCUCAGAGGAAUAGGAGUGGAGGAAUCCCUCCUUCCCUGAUGGAGAAGGACCAUUCAUCGGUAAAGGGUAUAGGAGUAGCUGUGCUCCCCUGGUAUAACCUCUAGACAAGUUCUCAAGGUCCAUUUGUAGGAGAACAAAGGGUAGUCAAGCUUCCAAGACUCCAGAUACACCCAAAUGAGGCGCUGCAUGCAUCCAAAUCAGGCAGAUCCAAAGAAAUGGACAGUCUGCCUUUCUUU
rnacentral:snRNA from 1 species